AACGAACGCUGGCGGCAUGCCUAACACAUGCAAGUCGAACGAGACCUUCGUGUCUAGUUGCGCACGGGUGCGUAACGCGUGGGAACCUGCCCUUAGGUUCGGAAUACCUCCCCGAAGGGGGUGCUAAUACCGGAUAAUGUCUUCGGACCAAAGAUUUAUCGACUUUGGGUGGGCCCGCGUUGCAUUAGCUAGUUGGUAGGGUAAGAGCCUACCAAGGCGACGCUCCAUAGCUGGUCUGAGAGGAUGAUCAGCGACACUGGGACUGGGACACGGCCCAGACUCCUACGGGAGGCAGCAGUGGGGAAUAUUGGACAAUGGGCGAAAGCCUGAUCCAGCAAUGCCGCGUGAGUGAUGAAGGCCGUAGGGUUGUAAAGCUCUUUUACCCGGGAUGAUAAUGACAGUACCGGGAGAAUAAGCUCCGGCUAACUCCGUG
rnacentral:rRNA from 1 species